rnacentral:sRNA from 1 species
AACAAAUUAAUUUUGAUUUUUUCUGAAAGAUACCGCGGGUUAAAAUCUAGUUCAUAUAUAAAUUGGCUGAAACAUAUUUUCAAA